ACUUCCUUUUCAAUGGAAUGCCUACAAGAAAUGCUAAAGUUUUGCUAUCAGGAUGAUACUGGCCUCAUAAAAUGAGUUAGUGAGGAGUGCCUCUUUUUCUUUGUUUGGAAGAGUUCCAGAAGGAAUGGUGCCAGCUCCUCUUUGUACCUCUACUAGAAUUUGGCUACGGAGUUUUGCUCUUGUAGCCCAGGCUGGAGUCCAAUGGUGCGAUCUUGGCUCACUGCAACCGCCGCCUCCCAGGUUCAAGCGAUUCUUCCGUCUCAGCCUUCCGAGUAGCUGGGAUUACAGGUGCACGUCACCACGCCCAGCACAUUUUUGUAUAUUUUUAGUAGAGACAGGAUUUCACCAUUGUUGGCCAGGCUAGUCUAGAACUCCUUUAGAGCUCUUCUCCUUAAGGGAGAAGAUUUAUUAUUCUCGAGGAUAAUAAAUCGAGGAGGAAGAUUUACUAUCCUUGAAGGGGUCUGUUUUGGAAGCUGCCAUGCCCUCAGCCCCUAAAUAAAAAUAUAAAACCUAAAUAUAAAAGGUGCCAUGCCCUCAGCCCCUAAAUAUAAAUAUAAGGAUCCAAUUUUUUGGAUCCACUAUAAGGAUCCAAAGGUCAGUUCUAGAACUCGUGAGGUCUCCUUUUUUUGGAUCCAAUAUAAGGAUCCAAUUAUUUUCUUCUGCAUGUAAAUACCCAAUUUUUAAAUGCCAUUUAUUUAAGAGAUUGCCCAUUUCUCAUUGUGUGUUCUUGAAAUUUCUGUCAAAAAUCAAUUGACUGUAAAUGGGCAGGUUUAUGGGCUUUCUAUCCUGUUCCAUAAGUCAACGUGUCUGUUUUUAUGCUAACGCCAUGUUGUUUUGAUGCAAUUACUUUAUACUUUGAAGUCAAGUAGAGUGAUGCUGCCAAUUUUAUUCUUUUUGCUAAGGAUUAUUUUGGCUACUUGGCAUCUUUUGAGGUUCAAUGUGAAUUAAAAGUUUGUGUUCUCCA
rnacentral:lncRNA from 1 species